rnacentral:rRNA from 1 species
CCUACGGGUGGCAGCAGUCGGGAAUAUUGCACAAUGGGGGAAACCCUGAUGCAGCGACGCCGCGUGAGUGAAGGAGGGUUUUGGUAUGUAAAGCUCUAGCAGCAGGGAAGAAAAUGACGGUAACUGAUUAAGAAGCCCCGGCUAACUACGAGCCAGCAGCCGCGGUAAUACGUAGGGGGCAAGCGUUAUCCGGAUUUACUGGGUGUAAAGGGAGCGUAGACGGCAGCACAAGUCUGGAGUGAAAUGCCAGGGCUUAACCUCGGAACUGCUUUGGAAACUGUGCAACUAGAGUGCAGGAGAGGUAAGUGGAAUUCCUGGUGUAGCAGUGAAAUGCGUAGAUAUUGGGAGGAACACCAGUGGCGAAGGCGGGUUACUGGACUGUAACUGACGUUGAGGCUCGAAAGCGUGGGGAGCAAACGGGAUUAGAUACCCCAGUAGUC